rnacentral:rRNA from 1 species
UACAGAGGUCCCAAGCGUUGUUCGGAUUCACUGGGCGUAAAGGGUGCGUAGGUGGUCAGGUAAGUCAGUGGUGAAAUCUCCGAGCUUAACUCGGAAACUGCCGUUGAUACUAUUUGUCUUGAAUAUUGUGGAGGUAAGCGGAAUAUGUCAUGUAGCGGUGAAAUGCUUAGAUAUGACAUAGAACACCAAUUGCGAAGGCAGCUUACUACACAACGAUUGACGCUGAGGCACGAAAGCGUGGGGAUCAAACAGG